GUUCAGCCCUAUGUGGUAUGUGAGGGUAUUCACAGCGAAAAGCAGGGGUCCUGGAGCAGGCACAGUGGAUUCUGCUGUACAGAACAGGGAGCACUGCAUCUCAGGAAGCCUGCAAGGGAAGGACACAGGACAAUUACAUCACAGGAUGCCCCUCCCAUCAGGAAAAGCGAGGCUGAGAACUCAGCUCCUCCCCAGGAGGACUGAGCCCUGAGCACAGACACAGUGUUGCCUGACGCUUCGUGCCAUGGGCUUCAGGCUGCUCUGUUCGGUGCUGCUUUGUCUCCCAGGAGCAGGCCUGGGAGAGGCUGGAGUCACCCAAACUCCAAGACACCUAAUCAAAAUGAGAGGACAGCAAGUGACACUGAGGUGCUCCCCUAUCUCUGGGCAUAACAGUGUGUACUGGUACCAACAGGCCCCAGGACAGGGCCCUCAGUUCAUCUUUGAAUACUACAAUGCGAUACAGAGACAACAGGGAAACUUCCCUGUUCGAUUCUCAGGGCUCCAGUUCUCUAACUAUAGCUCUGAGAUGAAUGUGAGCGCCUUGGAGCUGGGGGACUCAGCCCUUUAUCUUUGUGCCAGCAGCUUGGCACAGCCCUACAAAGCCAACCACAUUCUGUGCACAAACCUCCCUGGCCCAAUGUGGAGGAACCUCAGCCCUGACGUGUCUGUGAGAAUCUGGGGACUGCAGGGGGAAAGAAAGGUAAUUUAGGAUGCUAGGACCCACAGCCUGGGGCUUUCUGCUAUUCAGGGCUGGGGGAAACAAGGCCAAGAGGGGCUGCUCAGAGGAUGACGCUGCUUCUGUAGGUUGACUGCAGAAUUACCUUCUCUGCUGACACAGUAAACUACAGGGUAGAGGACAUGUUUGUAAUUUAACAGCUGACACACUCUUUUUCAGGACAAGGGACCUCAUUUUGCGGUCGAGAUUGUUGAUAACAGCAUAGUGGAGAAGGGAGAAUCACAGGGUUUGCUUUAUACAACUGAAAUUGAGAUUUGGGGAAAGUCAAGGAGAGAGAAAACGAAAGAUGACUGAAAAUAGAGAGAGAGCAGACGAUGAUGAAAAGUGGUGUUCUUUGUGCCAUGAACUCUCUGUCCCCUCCUCCCAAAGUUUUCAAUACCUAUAAAAUACAAGGUAAAGAGUUUUCUAGCAACUGGAAUCACCUGGUAGCCAGUCCCAGUAGGGGACAUCAUCAAAGAGCCACCUGCCUGGUGUGAGAGCCCUGGCUUUGCUUCUGAUGUCUUCCUUCUUCUGGCCCUAAUCUUGACUCCUCAGGGCACAGUCAGGUACUUUCCAAAACAUAGAGGAAGGUAAAAUCACCCUUGUUCCUAAAGGAGCACAUACUCUCCAGUUUCCCCCCAAAUAAAUUCUGCUUCUCUGGAUCCCUUCCUGACACUCACCUCCCAAAUCCAAUUACCUUCUAUGAUCAAAUGCUCUUUGAACAUUUUCUAAAACUCAGCGCUUUUACAUCCUCAGCAUUUUUCCUAUUUCCAUGCCUGGGAGAACCUUUGUUUUCCUAAUACAGCACCAGAAACUGAUCAUGUGUCAAGGACUGGCUCACACCUGCCUUCCUUUUCACCUCGUACUGUGACAUCCCUGGGAUUCUACUAUAUCACUCCCUUUUCUUUAUUUUUGUAGGAAAAGCCAGGCAUAUAAUUGAUACCCUUUGAUGUUUGUAAAAUUAAUAAGUUAUUGCCCACUUAUAGAGAAUCCUGGAGUGUAAUUAAUUAUUGUCUGCUCUUUACAGGGGACUCCACUUGAAAUAUCAUGGAAAAUGAUUAUGACAAGUCUCAGUAUUUCAUAUAACUUCUGUAAUAUUCUAGCAACUGUGUCUUCACAGUCAGGGUUGAUGACCAGUCCUGUCAAGUUCCCAAAGGAUAUCUAAUGCUGGAAUUUGCAAAUGUUCUUUUGGAGUGAAGAAAAUUAUGUUAUUUGUGCUGACUGAAGAAUCACUGAAGAAAGGAAAUUAUGGUACAGUAAUAUUUGUAAAAACUCAUAAUCCUGUAAAAAAAAAAAAAAAAAAACUUCCUCACCAUAACCACACCUUCCAUAACCACACUUUUAGUGAUUUGGUGAAGACAGAAUAUCAUCAAAGGUGCUUCUUAAUCACCCUUGAUGAAAUCAACCUAAAACAUUGAAAACAAAAAACUAGCUUUGCUCAGUAAUGAAAUGUUACCAUCCUUG